UUGGGAGCGGGAUCAGUCCGUCAGCAGCGUGUGCUGCGAAAUAACAGAAAAACUCACGUUCAAAUAAGAGCCCCUCACAGGGCAGCCCAGGCCUAAGGGGUUCUUUCACCCAGCAGGUCAAGAAUUAAAGAAUCGUUGUGGGUGGAAGAGAUCUCUGGAGAUCAUCCAGUCCAACCCCCCUGCCGAGGCAACAAGUUAGACGAAUGUGUCCAGGUGCUACUGAAACGAGUUUGACACCAUCCUCUUGGUACCUGCUUUUGAGAUAUCUGUAUGUAUUCAUGAGAUCCCCUCUCAGUCUUCUCGUGUCCAGACUAAACAUUCUCCAGCUCCCUCAGUCUCACCUCACUGAAGAGAUGCUCCAGACCCCAAAUCAUCUUUGUGGCUUCCACGGGACCCUCCCCAGCUCUUCAUCUUCCUUGUGGCUGAGGAGCCCAGAACUGGACACAGCACUCCAGAUGUCACCUCACUAGGGCCAAGCAGAGGGGCAGGAUCACCUCCCUCCACCUGCUGGCAAUGCUCUUCCUAAUGCCCUUCACCCCAGGACACCAUUUGCCCUCUGGUGCCAGCUUAUGGUCAACCCACCAAGACUCCCAGGUCCUUCCCAGCAGAGCUGCUCUCCAGUGCUGGUACUUGGGCUUAUUUGUCCCCAGGCACUUACUGUGACACUGGGUGUAUCGUAUUUCAUAUUUUUAAGUAGACACAUACUCCACAAAAGUGUCUGGCCUCCUUUCUAAAAGGUGUCUCUUUUAUUUUUAAUUUUUGACAUUAACAAUAUCAUGUGACAGAAUUCCACAGUUCACUGACAAGAUUAUGUGCAAAAUGCUUCCUUUUUGUUGUUUCAAACCUGUUCCCUUAAAGCUUUAUUGCAUUCUUGCUGCUUCUGCUAAUUUGGAAAUAGUGAUUAAAAUUUUUUGUCUGCUUAUCUUAA